CCAAUCACCAAACGCCACGUGAGGAAGGCGAGAGAGGCAGAGACUCCUAGCGGUGUUUUCCCUCACUCUCAGUAGCAAUCUUUCCUGGUGAGGUGAGGACGUCGUCAGGUGCUACUUAAUUGGUGGGCGAAGCGGGAGCCACACCUGAUCUACCUCGUGGUCUGGAGCCCUGGACUCCUUCUUCAAUCCUCUCUCGUUCCUCUCUGCAACACGCCGCCUCUCGACCUUCCAAAGGGUUCCCUCGCCUGCAGCACACAGUCACUCUCGACUUGUGGAUACUACAAAGGCAGGUAACCACCACGAUGGACACGUGGCACGGAAGGAUGGUGAGGAUCGACGUCUUGUCGCGUUGGAGUCUCGGAAGAAGAUGGCGCGGGGAGCGCCAAGACCCACAAGCCUCAGCUGCGGUCAAGGUGCCAGCUCUCGCCACACUGACAUCUCGUUUUCUGUGUAACACUUACACUAAACGCCCUACGGCUAUUUAUUAUUAUUUAUAAAUAACCUAACACUAUGCACGGUAAUAGUGGGUCAUGCAUCCCACUCAUAAUUCAGCUUUGGCAGCAAUAACGAAUAUGAUUUGAAAUAGGUGCUGUUUCCUGCCUUCUAAUUUUCCAAUGCCAAAAUCUACAUUUUUGGCACUUUUUUACUGUGUUUCGCAGAAAAAUCUUUUGGUUGGCAUUUUCCUGGUAUAUUUUUGUUAAUACAUUAAUGCUUUAAAAGACUUAUCUGCAAUACAAUUAUUUAUAGAAUGAGAUAGGAACGAUGAUUCCAGUAGUAUUUAAUUCAAGUCACCCAAACCUUAGUUCCCCUUAAAGGUUCACUUUCACUCCUGACGAUGGCCCGGUUGCAUAAUUAUAUAGUGUACCACAGUACUGUGCAGGGCAGCGAGAACGGGUGAGCGACACUCUUUGAAGGGGUCUCAAACAGACCUCCCCGACACACUCGCACACACCUUCACCUACUGAUAGUGUUAUUUUCUGUCUUCUUUCGCGCGCGCGCGCGUGUGUGUGUGUGUGUGUGUGUGUGUGUGUGUGUGUGUUUGUUGGUAUUUCACUGAUUGAUAGCAUUUUUCUUAUCGUAGAAAUAUAUUUGCCUCUCUCUCUCUCUCUCUCUCUCUCUCUCUCUCUCUCUCUCUCUCUCUCUCUCUCUCUCUCUCUCUCUCUCUCUCUCUCUCUCUCUCUCUCUCUCUCUCUCUCUCUCUCUCUCUCUCUCUCUCUCUCUCUCUCUCUCUCUCUCUCUCUCUCUCUCUCUCUCUCUCUCUCUCUCUCUCUCUCUAUCUCUCUCUCUCUCUCUCUCUCUCUCUCUCUCUCUCUCUCUCUCUCUCUCUCUCUCUCUCUCUGUGUGUGUGUGUGUGUGUGUGUGUGUGUGUGUGUGUGUGUGUGUAUAUACAAUGUCAUUUUUUUUUUUUUUUUUUUUUUUUUUAGGUGCAAAGCAUAUAACAGUUCAACUCAUGAUUUUCAUGGUUGAAAUUUUUGACUCCUAUAUGAAGAAGAGACUUACAAACGUUGCUGUAGGAAGCCGGAGGACAAAGAACACAAGUAUGGGAACACUGUCCCUUCUAGCCGUCACUCCCCUAGGCAACGGAAGAUACACGGUGAGGAGCCAGUCUACUGCAUCCCUUGACUAUACUGUAGAUAUGGAGGCUGCCUUCUGUGUGUGUAAUGUGGGACAGAAUGGCUCUCUAUAUAAACUUCAGGCCACCUGCGCAGAACACAGCAUGACAGCCCUCCCUCAAGUAUUCACUGCCACGAGUGGGGUUGUAGGUGUGGCCCGGCUGACGCACACAGGUACGCGGUGUAGCAGGCACGUUUGCUGCAAGAAACAGACAGUUUUCUUUCUGUAUCUGCUUGUCUGUUGACUUUUGGUGAGUGAUGGAGGUGGCCUGAACGUUAAUCAUAUUAAUAAAUAGAUUGUAAUGUCCAGUAUUUGUUUUGUUUUAGGAGUCUUCUCAUAACAAGGCUGCCUUGUUGAGUGACCAGCUGGCGGUGUGGGAUGGGUUGCUAUUUCGGGUAAAGAUUCGUUUCAUUAACGUUGCUCAAACUUGGACAAGAACAUUUUAAUUCUGGGUGUUUUUUUGGUGCUCUUUAACAUGGACAUUCUUUUUUUCCUUGAAAACCUGUUAUUUUUAUGCAAAUCCAAAUUUUAUCAUGGAGCAUGAAUAUAACAGAUUUUCAAGUCGAAAAAAAAAAUCUCCAUUUAAAAAUGCAUCAAAAUGUAUAUACCCAGAAUUAAAAUGUUCUUGCCACUAGUCACCAGUGCAAUUACAACCAAACCAAACCUAACCUGACCUAAGCAAACUUAACCGAACAAAACCGAACAAAUCUGUGAGACUUACCUCACGCAGCGUUUGGGUCCGUUUACAGCCAUGGCGCGCCCAAGGUUCUUCAUGGAACCUUGAGGAACCUUGGGCGCGCCUAGCCAGUGGUUGCCGUAAUUAUUUCCUAUUUUGAACAAUAAAAAAAUGGUUCUUGAACUUGAUUUAAAAAGCGUUUCCAUGAUUGUUGAACGUUUGUAGAAAAGAUAUAUGAAUGUUUCAUUAGGUAGGUAAUGAAAUAUGGCACGUUGAUAAAACGAAUCUGAACCCUAUUUCGUCUAACUUGCGACAAACGUACACAAUUAUGUCCAAAAAAAUGGAAGAGUUUAAAUGACUCCUCCAGAAAAUUUAAAAAGAUGAAUGGGGAAAAAAUGUGUGCGUGAAAGAGUCUAGUGAUGGGUCUGUAGAAGCCUUCUGUAAGCUGUCACUGCAAUUUGGUUCCAAGGCUGUCUUCCCUUCAAAAUCAUAAAAACUAAAUCCUUCAUUUAUUUUAGAGUUUAAUGGGUUUAACUUUAUUGUAAAGGAUGUCUCACAGGUUAUUUAAGAACUUCAAUAAACAUCUAUCAUGAAUAGUAGGAAGUAAUAUAUUUGAUUUUGUGUUAACAUCUUUCUUUUCUUUCUUUUACAGCCUACAAAGUAGAUAGGGUAUGUCUCAGAAGAUAGUGAUUAAUAACAAUAUUGAAAUUCAAUGAUGAUGGACAUGAAUAAUAUGCAUUUUGAUAUUCGAUGUAUGUGAUACUAUUUUGUAUUAUUUAUUCAAUCGUUAUAUGACUUCCAAGUUAAAGAGGAAAAUGUAAUAUAUUUGGUUUUACGUGUUAAUAUCUUUUUCUUUUUAUCACAUUGCGAAGAGUAGCUUCGUAUAUUUUAAAGGAUGGUGAUUUAUUAAAGUAUUGGAAUUUACUGAUGAUGGAUAUGAAUGAUAAGCAUUUUAUAUUGAUUUUAUGUGAUGUUGUUAUAUUUUAAUUAGUCAAGUUAUAUACCUUCCUUGUUAAAGAGAAUGCAAUAAAUUUGCACAGUGAAAAUAUAAA